rnacentral:rRNA from 1 species
AUUGAACGCUGGCGGCAUGCUUUACACAUGCAAGUCGAACGGUAACAGGCCGCAAGGUGCUGACGAGUGGCGAACGGGUGAGUAAUGUAUCGGAACGUGCCCAGUCGUGGGGGAUAACGCAGCGAAAGCUGUGCUAAUACCGCAUACGAUCUAUGGAUGAAAGCGGUGGACCGUAAGGCCUCGCGCGAUUGGAGCGGCCGAUAUCAGAUUAGGUAGUUGGUGGGGUAAAGGCUCACCAAGCCGACGAUCUGUAGCUGGUCUGAGAGGACGACCAGCCACACUGGGACUGAGACACGGCCCAGACUCCUACGGGAGGCAGCAGUGGGGAAUUUUGGACAAUGGGCGCAAGCCUGAUCCAGCAAUGCCGCGUGCAGGACGAAGGCCUUCGGGUUGUAAACUGCUUUUGUACGGAGCGAAACGGCCCUCUCUAAUAAAGAGGGCUAAUGACGGUACCGUAAGAAUAAGCACCGGCUAACUACGUGCCAGCAGCCGCAGUAAGAC